CCAAAAAGCGGAGGAAAAGAAACCAACAGGGAUUGCCUUAGUAGCGGCGAGUGAAGCGGCAAAAGCUCAAAUUUGAAAUCUGGCUCUUUCAGAGUCCGAGUUGUAAUUUGAAGAAGGUAUCUUUGGGUCUGGCUCUUGUCUAUGUUUCUUGGAACAGAACGUCACAGAGGGUGAGAAUCCCGUGCGAUGAGAUGAUCCAGGCCUAUGUAAAGUUCCUUCGAAGAGUCGAGUUGUUUGGGAAUGCAGCUCUAAGUGGGUGGUAAAUUCCAUCUAAAGCUAAAUAUUGGCGAGAGACCGAUAGCGAACAAGUACAGUGAUGGAAAGAUGAAAAGAACUUUGAAAAGAGAGUGAAAAAGUACGUGAAAUUGUUGAAAGGGAAGGGCUUGAGAUCAGACUUGGUAUUUUGUAUGUUACUUCUUCGGGGGUGGCCUCUACAGUUUAUCGGGCCAGCAUCAGUUUGGGCGGUAGGAGAAUUGCGUUGGAAUGUGGCACGGCUUCGGUUGUGUGUUAUAGCCUUCGUCGAUACUGCCAGCCUAGACUGAGGACUGCGGUUUAUACCUAGGAUGUGCAAAUGACC
rnacentral:rRNA from 1 species